UGUCAGGGAAGGUUGGCUGAAUGGUUUGUAGACUGUACGUGUGUGCAUACGUGUGUGUGUGUGUGUGUGUGUGUGUGUGUUAAAGAUCAGCUAUUCUGAAGUCUCUUUCCAAAGCUUAGCUAGACUCUAAAGCAGAAGACUGGAUGGCUUGUACUGCCAUUGUGGGAGGGAAGAAGCAGCUUGCCAUGCAUGGAAAGGAAAAGGACUCUCUUGUUAAGGCAACAAUUACUGCCGGUGGUGUGAUCUCACAAAUCCACAAAUUUCUGAUUGGAAAGAAAAGACAGCAGUAGACUGAGGGAUAGCUGAAUUCUAUGUGAUUUCAAGAAUUUAAAUAUUCUGCCAACCUGCAUUGUUGAUUUCCAGUGAACUGCAUCUCUGUGAAAAAAAAAACAAAACAAACCACUACAAACAAUUGUAUAUUUUGAUGAUCC
rnacentral:lncRNA from 1 species